UGCGUAGGCUGUUUAGCAAGUUGGAUGUGAAAUACCCGGGCUUAACUCGGGAGCUGCAUCCAAAACUGCCAGACUUGAGUACAGGAGAGGGAAGCGGAAUUCCUAGUGUAGCGGUGAAAUGCGUAGAUAUUAGGAGGAACACCAGUGGCGAAGGCGGCUUUCUGGACUGUAACUGACGCUGAGGCACGAAAGCGUGGGGAGCAAACA
rnacentral:rRNA from 1 species